rnacentral:rRNA from 1 species
UACAGAGGUCCCAAGCGUUGUCCGGAUUCACUGGGCGUAAAGGGUGCGUAGGCGGUCGGGUAAGUCUGAUGUGAAAUCUCACAGCUUAACUGUGAAACUGCAUUGGAUACUAUUCGGCUUGAGAGUUGGAGGGGGGACUGGAAUUCUUGGUGUAGCAGUGAAAUGCGUAGAUAUCAAGAGGAACACCAGUGGCGAAGGCGAGUCCCUGGACAACUUCUGACGCUGAGGCACGAAAGCUAGGGGAGCAAACAGG